rnacentral:misc_RNA from 1 species
GUCUCUCGCUCUUCCCACCACCACUGACUAUGACAAACCGUCCACGCGCAAAUGUCCGUGGCACACUGCCGCGCUGCUGCCGCCACUGCUGCGCCGCAAACACAGCACAGCACGCAGCACAGCACCGCCGCAGCCCACGACCAAAUGUCCACGCGCCUCGCGGCACGCAGCCCCACUCGCAAUGAUCCUUCCGCAGGUUCACCUACGGAAA